rnacentral:rRNA from 1 species
UCCUACGACCAUGCCACCCUGAACAAGUUUGAUCCCAUCUGACCUUGGAAGCUAAGCAAGGUUGGGCCUGUUUAGUACUUGGAUGGGAGACCACCUAGGAAGACCAGGUGCUGUAGGCA